CGUUGUGCAAAAGCCAAUAUAUGAUCACAACAGGUAGAAAUAGAAGCCGUAACUGUGAAGGAUGAGCGCAAAUGUAUGCUGCUCCGAGAACACUCACAUUGUAUUAACAUGCGUUAUGAGUCGUGAUUCGUCAGUCAUAGCCUGCGUAUAAUAUUCGGCAUCAUUUAAGUGUGUGUAAUGUCUGAAAACACAGUUCAGAAUAUAUAAUCUCAAUUAGACCGUUCUGUGCUAUUUGCCUUUAUCGUGCGUUAAAGUCCGGGUGCUACUGUCUUCAAAAGAAUAACCCUCUUUGUUUCCUGAUAGGCUCUUCAAUGCGUAAACGGCACCAUGUAAACACAGGGGCCAUGCAGCCAAGUGUCAGGGUCUCGUCAUCGGUGCAAGACACACGUGAGAGAGGAAUAAGACACACAACACACUCAGUCACGCACGCACACAGCGAUCAAAGACGGAGCGUGCCUCCCUUUGGAUGCCUCAAAUAUAGCCCGCUGUGAUGUAGUCUCCAUGGCGACGUUCGCUUCCGCGGUAACCCCUAGUCGCCGUUGCCAUGGCGCCCUUGUUUCCACAGUAACCUCCGAGAUGGCUUGGGAGCUUCACAUGGAAGAUUCACAUCUAAAUGGCUCGUCUCCGGUCUGUAAUAAGAUUGUUUUGCCAUCGUGCGUAAAAUACGAGCCCCUCAGACGUGCCUGGCGCCGCUGACUCUAAUCGGUGAGCUCACUACAGUGCCACGAGAAAACAAAGAAAAACAAAUUGGAGUAAGGAGGUCUGUUUACAAAUUGCAACCACGAACUGUCCCAUAAACAUCAGAGCUGGAAAAAAAAGGCGCAACUCAGGGAGGCUCUACGCCAGGAGACAGCAUGUGAGGAAUUAUGAAUGGGACUGGGUGCACGAUGGCCAUGAGUGCGCUACUGCGGGUGCUCACCAGAGGCCGCUGUUGUCCCACUGAUUGAAAUGGUAAAGCUUGUUCCGUUUUUCUGCUCAGACCUCCUGGAACCCCUGACGACCCCAAUUAGACUACAUCCCAUUCAGGGGUGCAAUGAGUCUUCCUGUUGGGCCGGAUUGGCCAAAAUUAAGAGCUGAGACCGAACACGC